GACGAACGCUGGCGGCGUGCUUAACACAUGCAAGUCGAACGAUGAAGGAAAGACUCGAAGCUUCGGCAGAAAUUCAUUUCGGAUUAGUGGCGGACGGGUAAGUAACGCGUGAGCAACCUACCUCUUACAAAGGGAUAGCCUAGGGAAACCUGGAUUAAUACCAUAUAACAUUGCGACGAAGCAUUUCGAUUCAAUCAAAGUUACGGCGGUAAGAGAUGGGCUCGCGUCCCAUUAACCGUAUGGUGAGGUAACGGCUCACCAUAGUGACGAUGGGUAACCGGGAUGGGAGGGUGAACGGUCACACUGGAACUGAGACCCGGACCAGACCCCUAGGGGUGGAAGGAGGGGUGACUAAUGCACACUGGAGGGGACUAGGAUGCAUCCGGGUCGCGUGAGUGAUGAAUGAAUUCGGUUCGUAUAACUCUGUUCUAUGAGAAGAAAAGGACUGUACCAUAGGAGAAAGCGCCGGCUAAAUACGUG
rnacentral:rRNA from 1 species